UUGAACGCUGGCGGCAGGCCUUACACAUGCAAGUCGAGCGAGAAAGGUCUUCGGACUGAGUAGAGCGGCGGACGGGUGAGUAACGCGUAGAUAUCUACCUAGUAGUGGGGGACAACCUGGUGAAAACCAGGCUAAUACCGCAUACGUCCUACGGGAGAAAGCGGGGGAUCUUCGGACCUCGCGCUAUUAGAUGAGUCUGCGUUGGAUUAGCUUGUUGGUGAGGUAAAGGCUCACCAAGGCUACGAUCUUUAGCGGGUCUGAGAGGACGAUCCGCCACAUUGGGACUGAGACACGGCCCAGACUCCUACGGGAGGCAGCAGUGGGGAAUCUUGC
rnacentral:rRNA from 1 species